rnacentral:tRNA from 1 species
CGGUCAAUAGCUUAAUUGGUAGAGCAUUGUUUUCAUAAGAUAAGGGAUAUUAGUUCGAUUCUAAUUUGACCGACCA